rnacentral:miRNA from 1 species
CAAGUGUGGCUUAGCGAG